rnacentral:rRNA from 1 species
UACGUAGGGUGCAAGCGUUAAUCGGAAUUACUGGGCGUAAAGCGUGCGCAGGCGGCUUUGCAAGACAGAUGUGAAAUCCCCGGGCUCAACCUGGGAACUGCAUUUGUGACUGCAUGGCUAGAGUACGGUAGAGGGGGAUGGAAUUCCGCGUGUAGCAGUGAAAUGCGUAGAUAUGCGGAGGAACACCGAUGGCGAAGGCAAUCCCCUGGACCUGUACUGACGCUCAUGCACGAAAAGCGUGGGGGAGCAAACGAGG